AUUAUUUUCCAACACACAUCACCACUAACAUAAAUAUAUUUUUGUUGUUGAUCAAUAAGAUUAUUUUUUUAAGGAAAUCAACUUGGGUCCAAUCUUCUUUAUUAAAGAUCUCUUCCAUGAUGAAAAAGACAUUAUUGUUCUCUAUAUCUUUCUUUAUUUAUUUUCAUUACAAAAAGGUUAUUUUGCAGAAGUUAUAAAACCUCUCACAAAUUAACAUAAUUUAGGAUAAUUCAGAUAGAUUUUUAAAAUGACAAUGAUUGUGGAGGUUUUAAUUUUUUUUGAAGAGGUUUAAAACCUACCUAAAUUAUAAUACAUUUUUCACUUUCAUUCUCCAUCUUUUUUUACAUCUAUUACCUCCCAACAUUUUACACUCAAACUUUUUUUUUAUUAAAUUCUAAAAACAUUGUCUAAACUCUAAGUGUCAAUUUCUCCCUCCCAAAUUUCUCAAUCUCCUGAUUAGUGCAUUUAGGGUUUGUAGACUGUCCAUUUUCUUCCUUCCUCCAUUCGUUACGCCAAUUUCCCCCUUUCUUCAACCUUCCUAAAUAACAUCUAAAGUAUGUAAAUCCUGUAUUGCAAAAGUUGUUGCUUCCAAAAAUUGUGGGUGCAGAAUCGGAUGGCUUUGUUUGCAACAAUAAGAUGCAGAUUCUGUGGAAUGGUUUUUGACCAAAUCGUGAUGUGCAGUCAUAGCCUCCCGCAAGUCAUGGCAUCUUCAAUGCUAUAGAACCGUUUUGACUAUCCUCCCUUACGGGAUUGAUCCACAAGUUUAGAACUUAGGGGGUGCCGCAUGCUCUAUAAAUAGAGCACUUCAUUCUCUCGAAAAUACAUAUCAAAGUUACUCUUCUCCCAUUCUUUUUUUUCUCUUAGUUCCAUUCUUUCUCUCUUUUUCUUUCCUAAAAUAUUUUGAUUUGUUUUCUACUCUUUUUAGAG
rnacentral:lncRNA from 1 species